CUUAACAAGAGGGGAUGUAUGAACUUAUCUCCUAUGAUCAGACUGGAGACUACUCCAAUUGUCAUCAGAGAGCCUUCAUCCAGUAACUGAGGGAAACAGAUGCAGAGACCCACGGCCAAACCUUAGGCUGAGCUCAGUCCUGUUUGAUUCUAUCCUAGGCCUCUGGGCCAUCCAGCCUCUGGAUCCUGGUGCUCCAGGAAGUUUAAGAGGUAGGCUCCCUCUUGUGGUACAGGUCUCAGGCUGGACCAGUCAUUGGUUGGCCACUCCCACAAUCUCAGUGUCACCCUUACCCCAGCACAUGCCAAAGGCAGGACAGACUGUAGGUCACAAAUUACGUGGCUGGGUUGGUGUCUCAGUCCACAAGGCUAGCCUGUGCAACUUAGUGAAUCCCUUCCUGAGUAUAAAAGGUAAAACAAAGUCUGGAAAUACAGGUCUCUGGCAGUAUACUUGUUUAGUAUGUACAAGGCCCUAGACUGAACCCCUAGCACUACACCUCUGGAAAAAAAGGAAGGAGGAAACAAGGAAAAGAAGAAAGAAUGAGAGAGAGAGAGAGAGAGAGAGAGAGAGAGAGAGAGAGGAAAUGUUGGCUUCGUAUCAUACCCCUCUCUGAAAUGGAUUCUUGGGAAUUGUGGAAAAAUUAGAUUGUAUUGGCUAUAAUUCACAUGAGAUAAUCUUAUGGAAAAUAUUCUUUCACAGAAAAUCUGUCUAUGAUCCAAAUUUAUUGCAAAAAAUGCUUUGCUUAACAGAAAGAAACUGCUGCAUAGUCAAUUAUGAGCCAAUCAUUCUGUACAAUACUACUCAAGAUAGAGCUUGUUGUUGCCUAUCGUCUCUGCUAAGCUGUGAUUUACUGGUUGCAUGUUGUGGCUUGUAUUUUGCAAACCUUGAAAAUUAGCAGUGCAAUCCAUGAUAUCAGGCACAUUCUCAUAUACAUGUCAGCAAUUUUUAUGUUUUUUGGAUAAAAAUCUAUUGAAAUCCUCUAUCCACCUAUGAGUCAGGUUAUUCAUCACUUGCUACCUUAUCUGGGUAUAAUGUAUUGUGAUGGUUGGUUGGAUUUGGUUGUUAACUUGAACACACACCUGUGUUUGUGUGACUGUUUCCACAACAGAGUGUUUUGUAGGACAGUAACUGGGGCAAAGGAACACACCUUCAGUGUGUACAUAAAUACUACCAGAUGACUGAAUGGAAAAACAAAACCAGAAUGGAUUAGGUACACCUACAAGCUUCUUCUUAAUGAACAAGAGCAUCUAUUGCUGCUGAUGGUGGUGAUGAUGGAGAUGAUGAUGAUGGGUGACCACGAUGAACUCUAGUUUCUUCCAUCUUACAACUUGAUCCAGUACCACUGUCUCUAGGUGCUUUGGCGGAGCAUAGCAUUCUUAGUUGACAUGACUACAAAGCUAUAGUAUGAGAGAAUCCCUGUGUCGAAGCAUGUUUGUCAGCCUGUGCCUCGGUUGGAAGCGGUGGAACCUAUAAAAAGAUGGUGAAAAUCCCUGCAGACACGAUGUCACAAAGGGCAAAGCUUCAAUCCAAAGUGACACCAUCUGUGCGGCAUGAACUCAGGAACAAGUUAAUAACGUUGUAGAUUCUGGGCCUGCAUUUAAUCUGCUUCAUCUGCUAAACAUUUGUGCUUGACAACAGUAUACACAGCAGAGUAUCAGCUGCUGAUCACAUGUCUUGCACAGAGCUGUGUCUCAUUGCUACAGCCCUUGGUCAUAAGAUACCCUAUCUUUAUCGCCAGCCUAGCAUAUCUAAAUUCUGCUUUCAUAUCCUGCCUUCUUGUGCCAGGUUUAGCAAAUAACUGAGAUAAUUUAAAUAUCAGGGCUUGUAACACCCAGAAAACAUGUUAAGACCCUCAAUACAAGACAAAUUACGACUAUCAUAGGAGGGAGUGUCAUCUCUGAGACUAGUCAACCAAGGACUGUCCUACUUGUCCUAAGAAUGGCUACCUUGAAUACCAACCUAGAGCCUUCAUCCAGUAGCUGAUGGAAGCAGAAGCAGAGAUCCACAGCUAAGUACUGAGCUGAAUUCCUGGAAUCCAGCUGUAGAGAGGGAGACGUGAUGAGCAAAGGGGUCAAGAACAGGCAGGAGAAACCCAGAGAAUACAGCUGACUUGACCAAGUGGGAUCACAUGGACUCCAGUUGUAAAACUGGGGAACUAGCAUUGGACUGAACCAGGCCUUCUGAAUGUGGGUGUCGGUUAGGAGGCCUGGGCUGUCUACGGAACCUCUAACAGUGGAACCAGUAUUUAUCCCUAGUGCACAAAUGGACUUUGGGAGCCCAAUCCCCAUGGAAGGGGUUACUUUCUCAGCCUAGGUCCUCCCCCAAAUGAUAUGACAGACUUUUAAUGAUCCCCCUUGAAUG